rnacentral:tRNA from 1 species
GGAGAGGUGGCCGAGUGGUUGAAGGCGCUCGCCUCGAAAGCGAGUUUACCUGCAAGGGUAACCAGGGUUCGAAUCCCUGCCUCUCCGCCA